rnacentral:tRNA from 1 species
AUUUUCUUAGUAUAACUAGUAUAGAUGACUUCCAAUCACCUGGCCCCAGUUAAACCCUGGGGGAAAAUA